rnacentral:rRNA from 1 species
CAACCGCCGCGGUAAUACGUAGGUGGCAAGCGUUAUCCGGAAUUAUUGGGCGUAAAGCGCGCGUAGGCGGUUUUUUAAGUCUGAUGUGAAAGCCCACGGCUCAACCGUGGAGGGUCAUUGGAAACUGGAAAACUUGAGUGCAGAAGAGGAAAGUGGAAUUCCAUGUGUAGCGGUGAAAUGCGCAGAGAUAUGGAGGAACACCAGUGGCGAAGGCGACUUUCUGGUCUGUAACUGACGCUGAUGUGCGAAAGCGUGGGGAUCAAACAGGAUUAGAUACCCCAGUAGUCCCUGUCUCUUAUAC